GAUGAACGCUGGCGGCGUGCCUAAUACAUGCAAGUCGAGCGAACGGACGCGAAGCUUUCUUCUCUGAUGUUAGCGGCGGACGGGUGAGUAACACGUGGAUAACCUACCUCUAAUACUGGGAUAACUUCGGGAAACCGUAGCUAAUACCGGAUAAUAUUUUGAACCGCAUGGUUCAAAAGUGAAAGACGCUCUUGCUGUCACUUAUAGAUGGAGUCGCGCUGCAUUAGCUAGUUGGUAAGGUAACGGCUUACCAAGGCAACGAUGCAUAGCCGACCUGAGAGGGUGAUCGGCCACACUGGAACUGAGACACGGUCCAGACUCCUACGGGAGGCAGCAGUAGGGAAUAUUCCGCAAUGGGCGAAAGCCUGACGGAGCAACGCCGCGUGAGUGAUGAAGGUCUUCGGAUUGUAAAACUCUGUUAUUAGGGAAGAAAAUAUGUGUAAGUAACUGUGCACAUCUUGACGGUACCUAAUCAGAAAGCCACGGCUAACUACGUG
rnacentral:rRNA from 1 species